GCCUGGCUGGCUCGGUGAGUGGAGCGUGUGACUCUUGAUCCCAGGGUUGUGGGUUCGAGCCCUGUGUUGGGUG
rnacentral:tRNA from 1 species